UAAAUUUUUUUGGUUGUUUCUAAAAUCAUCAUGUUAUAUUUAGAUUUCCAAGGCCCAAAAAUCUUGAUCACUAUUUUUUCCCUUUUCUUUCAACACAUGAAGUGCUCUCUCCAAGCUCUUUACAUGAUUGACAUUUUUUUGGCAAGAAUUUCGGAUAUUAUUGUAGUUGCAAAAUUUUUGUUAUCAAUUCUUUAGAGAAGAUAAAUGUCUGGACUAGCUUGAUAAGUUCCAGAGCUUACCAUGAUGUUAUAUUUUAUUAUCAAUGAUCAAUGAAUUUAGAUCUUAACAUGUGGUAUAUUCUAAAUUCUAUGAGGUCUUUAAUUGGACUAUUUUGUUAGUUGGACUCUUGCUAUUUGUGGAAUGAGAUGUAAUGAGUGGUAAGUAAUUAAGAUGUCAUUUGCAUCAAAUAAGAGAGAAAAAUCGUGUUAGUGAGAAGAAACACUUGUACCCAAAAAAUACUACUUUAUACAGGAAUAUUUCUGCUUAACAACAUCAUGUACCCUUUAUGAACGUUUCAUUCAGCCCAGAAAGUUAUCAUAUAAUAGAAGCUGUAUUUGAUAAAUAGUUGGAUAUGAUAAAAAGUCUUUUUCAUCUUAAUAUUGAUGAUGAACAAAUUCAAAAAUAUAUGCAAAAAGAAAAUCAGAAGAAUACUAGUAUUAAUUCCUUUGCAUCAUUUAAACGUUGAUUAAAAGUUGAGGAUACCAUUAUGUAGAAUCCAACAUUAAACAGCUAAUUGUUUAGUGUACUAACCGGGUUCAGAUUUGUCAAACUAUUAAGUUUGGAAAUGCCCUGUUUCAAAAUUUUCCAAAGGAACAUCACGAUUCUUAUGCUGCCUUUAUUGAACAAUGUUGUUAUUGAUUGAUACCUAGACUUUUUAGAGAUUCUCUUGUCACUUGACAGGCAAGAGAGUUCACGAGAAACUAACAAUGGAGGCACUUGGGAAUUUGGCAUUGGACAGAGGAAGGAGGUAUGUCAAUUUGGAUGAUAAUCUCAGGUCGCUUGAAAGGAAGUUGCAAAGAUUAGGCGGCAGAAAAUCUGACAUCGAGUUGCAAGUGACAAAUGCAGAAAGAUCAGGUACUAAGAAAAGGAAAAGGGAGGUUGAGAUUUGGUUUGAGGAGGUAGCAACAGUAGAAAGUGAAUUCGGUGCUUUGAAAGAAAGCAUACAGGAGGGUGGAUUUCUAGAAAAUGCAAUUAGCAGUGGGGAUAGAGUGGCUAAAAUGGAUGCAAUUGUAGAGCAACUGAUGGAGCAAAGUAAUCAUUUUGAUGGGCUUUUGCUUGAGGCUUUUGAGAACAGAGGUGAGCCACGGGUGACAACAAAAUUAUUUGGAGAAAUGUUUGACAGAGGUUUGAAAGCAAUCUGGGCGUGGUUGGUCAUGGAUAGCAUCUCAAACAUUGGGAUUUACGGGAUGGGCGGUGUGGGUAAGACUACAUUGGCGAAACACACCCAUAAUCAUCUCCUUGAGAGAACUCAAUUCAAGGUUUAUUGGAUUACUGUCUCUCAAGAAUUCAGCAUCAAAAGGCUGCAAGAUGACAUUGCUAAACGCCUAAGGCUUGAUCUGUCAUACGAGGAUGAUGAGGAUAGCAGAGCAGCCAUUUUGUCCAGGGCAUUGGUGAAGCAUUCUGUCCUCAUACUCGAUGAUGUUUGGCAAGAAUUUUCUUUUGAAAAGAUUGGAAUUCCUCUCGGUGCAAACAAAUGCAGAGUGAUCUUGACUACUCGGUCUCUAGAAUUAUGCAGCAGGAUUAGCUGUCAAAGGGUAUUUGAAGCUAAAACUUUGGCUACAAAUGAAGCUUGGGAUUUGUUCAAACAUACACUCGACACUAAGACAGUGCCUGAUGGAGAUGUGGAAGGUGUUGCCAAGUCCGUUGCGAAAAGGUGUUCUGGUUUGCCUCUUGGUAUUAUCACAGUGGCUGGGAGCAUGAGAGGUGUGAGCGACAUCUGUGAGUGGAGAAAUGCAUUGGAACAAUUGAAAACAUGUUCGGUAGGGCAUGAUGAGAUGGAACGAGAUGUGUUUCCCAUUCUGGAAUGGAGCUUCAAUCGCCUGGAUAAAUAUGAAAGGAAUUGCUUCUUGUAUUGCUCUCUUUAUCCGGAAGAUUAUAAAAUAAAAAGAAAGGAACUAAUAGACCUGUUUAUUUGGGCAGCGCUGAUGUCAAAACGGGGCUCAAGGUCAAAAGCAUUUGAUCAAGGUCAAACGAUAUUAAACAAACUGAUGAGAGUUUGCUUGCUGGAAGAAACUAAAGAUUUCAAAGGGGGUGACUGUGUGAAGAUGCAUGAUUUGGUCAGAGAUAUGGCAUUAAGGAUCACGCAUGGAAACUCCAAACCAAAGAGGAGGAGAGAUGAUGUACCACGAUUCUUGGUGAAAAGCUUAGGACAGGAAGAUUCACAAGUAACACUGGAACAAGAACAGUGGACACAAGAUCUCCGUGCAGUUUCCUUCUAUUCACAAAAUUCCAAAGGAAUAGAAAUUCCACUAGCCUGGUCACCAAAUUGUCCUAAGCUCUCAACCUUGCAUCUUUCUUGGGUUUUCAUAAAGGAAAUCCCAGAUUCAUUCUUUCAGCACAUGUGUGGACUUAAAGUUUUAAAGGUAUUUGGGUGCCAAGGUAUAACAUUGUUGCCGAAUUCUGUUUCAAACUUGGUGAAUCUCACUGCUUUGAUUUUGGGGAGUUGUGGAGACCUCCGAUUUGUGCCACCACUGGGAAAGCUCAAGCAACUGAGGGAAUUGGAUCUAUCAUGGACUAAAGUUGAGGAUUUACCUCAAGGUUGGGAGUCACUGGUCAACCUCGAAAGGCUUAACUUGAACCAGUGUCAGACUUUUAGUCGAAAGAUAAUAAUACCAAAAGGGACAUUUUCCCAAUUUCACCGUCUUCAACGGUUACUAUUGCCACCCUAUGGUUGGGUACAAGUUAAUGAUCCAGAGGUGUUGAACCAAUUAGAAAGUUUUAUAGGAUGUUUGUCUUAUACGGACUUCUAUAAAAUUACUCGGUGGCCAAAAUACUAUAAUGUUUAUAUCAAUGACAUCUUAACUAAGAAUCAGCAUUAUGAGGACAAUGACUGUGGGUACCAAAAAAAACUGUAUUUCCAUCAGUGUAAGCUUGGUAGAGGAUCGAACGACCUACCAGAUGAUAUGAAGCGUCUGAUAAUCGAGGAUUGUGAGGGCACCGGCAUUAGGUGCUUGUCAGAUGUUUUUAAGAAUUUUAUAAACUUAAGCGACUUAGCUGAAUUGGAAAUUGUUGAUUCGGUUGGAAUAGAGUUCCUCUGGCAAUUGUCCUCUGCUUCUCCAUGUGAUCAGUUGGAAGUCUCGUCUUUUAAUCCACUUCGUGGUCUCGAAUGGCUACGCCUCCACAGGUUGCCAAAUCUGGUUGGUCUUUUUUACGGAGAAUCAGAACCAUGUGUGCUUCCGGCUGGCACCUUUUCUUCCCUUAAAAAAUUGUGGAUUUCUAAAUGUCACAACAUGAAGCAGCUAUUCACAGUGCAGUUGCUGCAGAACCUUCAAAAUGUUGAAGAAUUAGACGUUGACGAUUGUGAAGGACUAGAGGAGAUAGCAGCAGAUGGCAAUGGAAUAGGACAAGGAGAAGGAGAAGGCAUCCAAUUGACUUCAAGUGGAGCCACCACCACUGUCAUCAUCCUUCCAAAGUUAAGGAGGUUGCGUCUGAAUAGGCUGCCACAACUAAAAAACAUUUGCAAGGCAGCCAUGAUCUGCGACUCAAUUGAGAAGAUUAAAAUAUUUGAUUGUCCAAAGGCAAAGAGGCUGCCUUUGUUUUUUCCUACCAUCAACGGACUACCAUCUCUUCCCAGCACUCUUUGUAAAAUCAAGGGAAAUAAAGAAUGGUGGGAAUCGUUAGAGUGGGACUAUCCUAGUGCCAAAAAUGCCCUUGACCCAUAUUUUAACACAUGGCGGAGUUUAUUUGAUUAUUGAAGACCACUUGUUUGAUCAAAAUCCUGACUGGUUCUCAAUUCUCAUGUUAAGAAGAUAGCUAGGCAGCCACAGAAUUGCUGCUGCAAGAGAGGUGGAGUUGCAAAAAGAAGUAGUAUGUUUGAGGUGGCCCGUAAAGCAAGCGUCAACUUGCUAAUCCGCAGUCCUGCAAUGUAUGAAGAGGCAAAAUUCGAGGAAGAAGCAGAAACAAAAGGACCAGAAGGCCAAGGAGCUGCGAUGCUGUCAUUGAGAUUACAAAGGAAUCCAAAUCCUGAACUUUCAUUAAAUGUUACAUCCGAUGGCAAGCUAGGCAAGAGGCAAGCAGAUUCUGGAGAACGAGUGGUAAACUAAUCAAAGGGAAGACUAAGUUGACAUUCAUAGUUAAAUUAAUUUUUUGUCCAGAAAAUGUUUAUUAUGUUACAAGGAAAUAGUUCAUUUUGGAGACCCAUCAAG